GACAGAGGGUGCAAACGUUGUUCGGAAUUACUGGGCGUAAAGCGCGUGUAGGCGGUUCGGAAAGUCGGAUGUGAAAGCCCUGGGCUCAACCCAGGAAGUGCACUCGAAACUCCCGAACUGGAGUCCUGGAGAGGAAGGCGGAAUUCUCGGUGUAGAGGUGAAAUUCGUAGAUAUCGAGAGGAACAUCGGUGGCGAAGGCGGCCUUCUGGACAGCGACUGACGCUGAGACGCGAAAGCGUGGGGAGCAAAACGG
rnacentral:rRNA from 1 species